UACGUAGGGUGCGAGCGUUGUCCGGAAUUAUUGGGCGUAAAGAGCUCGUAGGCGGUGUGUCACGUCGGCCGUGAAAACCUGCAGCUUAACUGUGGGCGUGCGGUCGAUACGGGCAUCACUGGAGUUCGGCAGGGGAGACUGGAAUUCCUGGUGUAGCGGUGAAAUGCGCAGAUAUCAGGAGGAACACCGAUGGCGAAGGCAGGUCUCUGGGCCAUAACUGACGCUGAGAAGCGAAAGCAUGGGGAGCGAACAGG
rnacentral:rRNA from 1 species